GUAGGUGGCAAGCGUUGUCCGGAAUUAUUGGGCGUAAAGCGCGCGCAGGCGGUUCUUUAAGUCUGAUGUGAAAGCCCACGGCUCAACCGUGGAGGGUCAUUGGAAACUGGAGAACUUGAGUACAGAAGAGGAAAGCGGAAUUCCACGUGUAGCGGUGAAAUGCGUAGAGAUGUGGAGGAACACCAGUGGCGAAGGCGGCUUUCUGGUCUGUAACUGACGCUGAGGCGCGAAAGCGUGGGGAGCAAACAGGGAUUAGAUACCCUGGUAGUCCACGCCGUAAACGAUGAGUGCUAAGUGUUAGGGGGGUUUCCGCCCCCUUAGUGCUGCAGCUAACGCAUUAAGAACUCCGCCUGGGGAGUACGGCCGCAAGGCUG
rnacentral:rRNA from 1 species